AUUGAACGCUGGCGGCAGGCCUAACACAUGCAAGUCGAACGAGUGGCGGACGGGUGAGUAAUGUCUGGGAAACUGCCUGAUUGAGGGGGAUAACUACUGGAAACGGUAGCUAAUACCGCAUACCAUCGGAUGUGCCCAGAUGGGAUUAGCUAGUAGGUGGGGUAAAGGCUCACCUAGGCGACGAUCCCUAGCUGGUCUGAGAGGAUGACCAGACACACUGGAACUGAGACACGGGACAGACUCCUACGGGAGGCAGCAGUGGGGAAUAUUGAACAAUGGGCGCAAGCCUGAUGCAGACAUGAAGCGUGGAUGAAGAAGGCCUUAGGGUUGUAAAGUACUUUCAGAGGGGAGGCGUUACCCGCAGAAGAAGCAACGGCUAACUCCGUGCCAGCAGCCGCGGUAAUUC
rnacentral:rRNA from 1 species